UCCGGUUUGUCACCGGCAGUCAGCCUAGAGUGCCCACCCAUAGUGCUGGCAACUAAGCUCAAGGGUUGCGCUCGUUGCGGGACUUAACCCAACAUCUCACGACACGAGCUGACGACAACCAUGCACCACCUGUCUCCUCUGUCCCGAAGGCCUACGCCAUCUCUGGCGUAUUCAGAGGGAUGUCAAGACCUGGUAAGGUUCUUCGCGUUGCUUCGAAUUAAACCACAUACUCCACUGCUUGUGCGGGUCCCCGUCAAUUCCUUUGAGUUUCAGUCUUGCGACCGUACUCCCCAGGCGGAGUGCUUAAUGUGUUAACUUCGGCACCGUGGGGGCGAUCCCCCCGACACCUAGCACUCAUCGUUUACGGCGUGGACUAC
rnacentral:misc_RNA from 1 species